AAAAAGUGUUUUAUUGUCUGCACUAAAGUUAUAAUUUAGUUAAAUAUGAUCGGAUUUUAUAUUAUACUAUUUACAUUACAUUCCAGUAAAGGCCAAAUCAUCAGUAAAUUAACACAACAUAAUCUUGAUGACUUCAGAAAUAAUGCAGUCAAAAGUUUUUUCCUGACUCCUAAAGCAUUAAUUGUCGAUAAUACUCGUCUAGAAUUUUCUUAUUGGAACUAUGAACUUGGAAAUAAUUAUCCAAUUCCAUUUGAAUACGGCAAAG